GGGCGGCUCCGGCGGCUCACUGCUGCUGGCCCGCGCCGGCGCGUACGUCUGCUUCGGGCUGUGCGCGGCGGCCGUCGCGUACGGGAUCUAUCUGAUCGUCGCCUGAGCCACUCCCGCGCACGCUCCCCCGUCGGGCCGGACACCCCAGGUGUCCGGCCCGAUGUGGGUAUCAGCACACUGCGCCGUCGCAGGUCAACGGCAGGUUGACGGGCGUUCGCGGAGCGUGGUGGACUGCCGGAGCCAAUUACGGCGACAGCAGAGGAAGCCGGUGCGAAUCCGGCGCGGUCCC
rnacentral:tmRNA from 1 species